rnacentral:rRNA from 1 species
CACGUAGUUAGUCGGUGCUUAUUCUACAGGUACCGUCAUCUACAGAGGUUAUUAGCCUCUAUCAUUUCUUCCCUGUCAAAAGUGCUUUACAACCCGAAGGCCUUCAUCACACACGCGGGAUGGCUGGAUCAGGGUUUCCCCCAUUGUCCAAAAUUCCCCACUGCUGCCUCCCGUAGGAGUCUGGGCCGUGUCUCAGUCCCAGUGUGGCUGGUCGUCCUCUCAAACCAGCUACGGAUCGUCGCCUUGGUAGGCCUUUACCCCACCAACUAGCUAAUCCGAUAUCGGCCGCUCCAAUAGUGAGAGGUCUUGCGAUCCCCCCCUUUCCCCGUAGGGCGUAUGCGGUAUUAGCCACUCUUUCGAGUAGUUAUCCCCCGCUACUGGGCACGUUUCCGAUACAUUACUCACCCGUCCGCCACUCGCCACCAACGAGAGCAAGCUCUCUCGUGCUGCCGUUCGACUUGCAUGUGUAAAGCAUCCCGCUAGCGUUCAAUCUGAGCCAGGAUCAAACUCU